UUCAUAGAACAAAGUAUUUCUUUCAGAAAUAAUUUUGAUGAUCAUAAAAUAUUAGAGCAUAUUUUGAUACUAAUAUUUUUCAAAAUUUGUUAAAGAAUAUUUUUAUAGAAGAAAAAAGCCAUCAAGAGACUCCUAACACAAUUGAAAAUCAUUUGAGUCAAGAGAAACUGAGUUCAAAGAGAUUUGGCAUAAGAAAAACUAGCCCAAUUAUUCAAGCUGAUUCACCCAAGAAAUUAAGCCGACUCUGGUAUGGUAUGUCUUCACUAUUUUGGCUUGACACGCAGUCGAGCCGGCUU
rnacentral:lncRNA from 1 species